rnacentral:rRNA from 1 species
AUUGAACGCUGGCGGCAUGCCUUACACAUGCAAGUCGAACGGCAGCACGGGUGCUUGCACCUGGUGGCGAGUGGCGAACGGGUGAGUAAUACAUCGGAACAUGUCCUGUAGUGGGGGAUAGCCCGGCGAAAGCCGGAUUAAUACCGCAUACGAUCUACGGAUGAAAGCGGGGGACCUUCGGGCCUCGCGCUAUAGGGUUGGCCUAUGGCUGAUUAGCUAGUUGGUGGGGUAAAGGCCUACCAAGGCGACGAUCAGUAGCUGGUCUGAGAGGACGACCGGCCACACUGGGACUGAGACACGGCCCAGACUCCUACGGGAGGCAGCAGUGGGGAAUUUUGGACAAUGGGCGAAAGCCUGAUCCAGCAAUGCCGCGUGUGUGAAGAAGGCCUUCGGGUUGUAAAGCACUUUUGUCCGGAAAGAAAUACUUGGCCCUAAUACGGUCGGGGGAUGACGGUACCGGAAGAAUAAGCACCGGCUAACUACGUG